rnacentral:ncRNA from 1 species
CACCUGGUUGAUCCUGCCAGUAGUCAUAUGCUUGUCUCAAAGAUUAAGCCAUGCAUGUCUAAGUAUAAGCUUUAAACGGCGAAACUGCGAAUGGCUCAUUAAAACAGUUAUAGUUUAUUUGGUGAUCGAUUACUAUUUGGAUAACCGUAGUAAUUCUAGAGCUAAUACAUGCGUCAAGGCCCGACUUCGGAAGGGCUGCGUUUAUUAGAUAGAUUUAUGGAU